CGGCAGGUAGGUUUCGGGGGCGUUCCGUAGUUGAGAGGCAGUUAUGACGGUGGCUUAGGAACAUUCUUUUGGCUCUCCUUUCAGGGGUCAGAGGGGAGCUCUCCCGGAGAGCUGGAUCCUGCCUUUGCGCUGAGGAGGCCUCAUUCCCGAGAUAACGCCUAACCCGGAAAAGCCCCAGUCAAGUGCCUGCUCGCUCUGGAGGCCUGGCGACAGCACCGGCUGCUUGAACUUCUGGAAGACCGCCUUGUAGCCACCAAAGAGUUGUAAGAAGUUGGACGUAGAAGUGCUUCCAUGAUUGACUUCCUGUAUAAAUCUGUAGUUUCCUGAUUCUGCUUCAUAUCCUAUAAUCAUGGACUUGUUUAUAUGACCUUCAAGCCCAUAACAAAUCAAGUGGCCAAUUUUCUCAGUAAGUACUUUUCUUUUCCACAGUACAUAGAGGUUUA